GGCUCAGUUGGUAGAGCAUGGUGUGUGCAACGCCAGGGUUGUGGGUUCGAUUCCCAC
rfam:Salmo salar isolate Sally breed double haploid chromosome ssa19, whole genome shotgun sequence.